AGUGAGCUGAUUUGAAGACAACGAUAAAUGACUACCUGACGCACCAAUAAUUUUAGCGAAGCUUCAUUGAUUGACUAUAUUUCUGCCCAAUGACCACUGAUCUUCUUGAAAUCUAGCUGGGUAGAUAGCCAAUGAGCUGAGGUAAACGCCAGUAUGUAAUGGUUUGGGGUUGGACCACAAUUCCUUGGUUGUAAUCGCACGCGCAGGGAACGCGCAGCUGUAUUUCGGAAAGUUGUAGUUUCAACAAUUUCAUUGAAGAUAUCCUGGCGAAUUGCAUCAUGUAAAGCGAAGUCAAACUCUAAAGUAAAAGUGAAAGUGAGACAGAUUGUUUGUUUGAGUAAUCUUGGAGUGUUAUGAUUCAAACGAACAGAGGAGCUGUUUCUGCAAGGACAGGACGUACUUCUGGACGGUGAUAGCAACUCCGACUGGGAGGCCCCGGUGCCAAGUUGCCCGCUCUACCUGUGCCCCCCAGUGGUGUUCAUAUGCCACAGUUCAUUACUGCAGGCAUGACUGUGCCUCAGGGCCAAAAGGGCACAGCAUGGAGGCGUCGUUGUGUUCUGUUGCGCAUGAAAUGCACCACUUGUUCAGUUUGCCUCUGCUUUACAUCAGAAAGAGACUGCUAUGGGACAGGGCACAGGCAGCAAAAUACUGUGAUGAGGAUUUCCAAGGGGUGUACUGUUUUUUUUUUCUAUAUUUAUUUUCUAAUAUUUUUUUAAACAUUUUUUGUGUGUGUGUGUGUGUGUUAGAAUUGCUUUUUGAUGUGUUGUAUAUAGUUAUUUGCACUGCUGUAUAUAGUUAUAGGUCAUUUCACCAAUUCGGCCACUUGGGUACAUUUGGGCAACUUGUGUGGGACACCUGGGUGACUUCAUGCUAAAUGUCAUGUAGCUCACCCAUUCCUGAAGUUAUCAGUCUCAAACUUUCCACACCUACAGAUGCCCUCUUGUGUUAUCCAUCUAAAUUGUGUGGCUAUUCUAGUACAUGUGAAAGAUGAUACUACAACAACAAAAAACAGAAAACGUAUGCUCUUUCUUUCUCUUUCCUUCCACCAGAUCUACUGUGUUAUAUUCUCCUACAUUCAAUUAACAUUUCCACAAACUUCAGAAUGUUUCCAUUCAAAUGAUACCAAGAAUAUGCAUAUCCUUGCCUCUGGGGCUGAGCUACAGGCAGUUAGAUUUGGGUAUGUCUUCAGGCGGAAAUUGAGAACAAAGGGUUGCAGCCAUAACAGGUUUUAAGUUUGCCUUGAAUUCUAAAUAAUUCACUGACAGUAUCACCAGCAAAGCACCAUCACACCACCUCCUCCAUGCUUCACGGUUGGAACUACACAUGCGGAGAUCAUCUGUUCACCUACUCUGCGUCUCACAAAGUCACAGCGGUUGGAACCAAAAGUCUCCAAUUUGGACUCAUCAGACCAAAGGACAGAUUUCCACCGGUUUAUAUUGCUUGUGUUUCUUGGUCUCUUCUUCUUAUUUGUGUCCUUUAGUAGUGGUUUAUUUGCAGCAAUUCAACCAUGAAGGCCUGAUUCAUGCAGUCUCCUCUGAACAGUUGAUGUUGAGUUGUGUCAAGUUACUUGAGCUCUGUGAAGCAUUUAUUUGGGCUGCAAUUUCUGAGGCUAGUAACUCUAAUGAACUUAUCCUCUGCAGCGGAGGUAACUCUGGUUCUUCCUUUCCUGUGGCUAUCCUCAUGAGAGACAGUUUCAUCAUAGCGCUUGAUGUUUUUUGCAACUGCACUUGAAGAAACUUAAAAUGUUUUGAAAUUUUCCAGAUUGACUGACCUUCCAUGUCUUUUCUCUCUUUUAUCUCACAUUAACAAGGCACACCUGUUAAUUGAAAAUCAUUGCUUGUGCUUCUACACCUGCAUUGCUUGCUGUUUGGGGUUUUAGGCUGGGUUUCUGUACAGCACUUUGUGACACCAGCUGAUGUAAGAAGGGCUUUAUAAAUACAUUUGAUUGAUUGAUUCCAGCUGACUACCUCAUGAAGCUGGUUGAGAGAAUGCCAAGAGUGUGCAAAGCUGUCAUCAAGGCAAAGGGUGGCUACUUUAAAGAAUCUCAAAUAUAAAAUAUAGUUUGAUUUGUUUAACACUUUUUUGGUUACUACAUGAUUCUUUCAAAGUUAUUGAAAAUUUCUGGAUUGACUGACCUUGAUGUCUUAAAGUAAUGAUGGACUGUU